CCCCAGCUUGCUGGGGGGAUUAGUGGCGAACGGGUGAGUAACACGUGAGUAACCUGCCCUUGACUCUGGGAUAAGCCUGGGAAACUGGGUCUAAUACUGGAUACGACCUUCUGGCGCAUGCCAUGUUGGUGGAAAGCUUUUGUGGUUUUGGAUGGACUCGCGGCCUAUCAGCUUGUUGGUGGGGUAAUGGCCUACCAAGGCGACGACGGGUAGCCGGCCUGAGAGGGUGGACGGCCACACUGGGACUGAGACACGGCCCAGACUCCUACGGGAGGCAGCAGUGGGGAAUAUUGCACAAUGGGCGCAAGCCUGAUGCAGCGACGCCGCGUGAGGGAUGAAGGCCUUCGGGUUGUAAACCUCUUUCAGUAGGGAAGAAGCGAAAGUGACGGUACCUGCAGAAGAAGCGCCGGCUAACUACGUGCCAGCAGCCGCGGUAAUACGUAGGGCGCAAGCGUUAUCCGGAAUUAUUGGGCGUAAAGAGCUCGUAGGCGGUUUGUCGCGUCUGCCGUGAAAGUCCGGGGCUUAACUCCGGAUCUGCGGUGGGUACGGGCAGACUUGAGUGAUGUAGGGGAGACUGGAAUUCCUGGUGUAGCGGUGAAAUGCGCAGAUAUCAGGAGGAACACCGAUGGCGAAGGCAGGUCUCUGGGCAUUAACUGACGCUGAGGAGCGAAAGCAUGGGGAGCGAACAGGAUUAGAUACCCUGGUAGUCCAUGCCGUAAACGUUGGGCACUAGGUGUG
rnacentral:rRNA from 1 species